UACGGAGGAUGCAAGCGUUAUCCGGAAUGAUUGGGCGUAAAGCGUCCGCAGGUGGCGGUGUGAGUCUGCUGUUAAAGAGUGAGGCUCAACCUCAUAAAAGCAGUGGAAACUACACAGCUAGAGUGCGGUAGGGGCAGAGGGAAUUCCUGGUGUAGCGGUGAAAUGCGUAGAGAUCAGGAAGAACACCGGUGGCGAAAGCGCUCUGCUAGGCCGCAACUGACACUGAGGGACGAAAGCUAGGGGAGCAAAUGGG
rnacentral:rRNA from 1 species